rnacentral:rRNA from 1 species
UAAGGAAUAUUGGUCAAUGGACGCAAGUCUGAACCAGCCAUGCCGCGUGAAGGAUGAAGGUCUUCUGGAUUGUAAACUUCUUUUAUCUGGGACGAAAACGGGAUUUUUAUCUCAAUUGACGGUACCAGAGGAAUAAGCACCGGCUAACUCCGUGCCAGCAGCCGCGGUAAUACGGAGGGUGCGAGCGUUAUCCGGAUUUACUGGGUUUAAAGGGUGCGUAGGUGGGCUUAUAAGUCAGUGGUGAAAUCUCCGAGCUUAACUUGGAAACUGCCAUUGAUACUGCAGGCCUAGAGUAUAGAUGACGUAGGCGGAAUAUGACAUGUAGUGGUGAAAUGCUUAGAUAUGACAUAGAACACCAAUUGCGAAGGCAGCUUACUACAUAUAAAUUGACGCUGAGGCACGAAAGCGUGGGGAUCAAACA